AUUAAAGCUUCUAGAAAAGGCAUUCUAGAUAUUUUGAAUUAUUCAACCAUUUGUGUUUCUUUGAUUUAAUCUCGACCAUCGGGAUUAAUCAAAGGCCUGUAUUGAUUAUACAUGUGCAUUCUAUCAUACAAUCAAAAAUCAAAUAAUAAUGAUAAUAAAGAAAAUGAAUUAAAAUAAGAAAAUUGGUCAAUUUCUCUCUCCCAUGUGACUGAUGCUAAGAGGGUGG
rnacentral:lncRNA from 1 species